AAGUCGUAACAAGGUUUCCUUUGUAGGACUAUAGCACCUAUUGAAGCCUUGGAUACCAGUCUACAGUGAUGCAGGCAACACCUUUACUGUGCGUGGAUAUCAUGUUUGGUAACACGCAGCUGCUUUAGCAGUCCACAGAUCAAACAGAGGUGGUCUUAGGACAUGAGAAGCCUGAGAUUCAGAUAUGACCGGCCUACGCUUGAGAGAGCAGUAGACCUUGCGUUCCGUAGGUGAACCUGCGGAAGGAUCAUUACAGAGAACUUGCCCCUCGGGGUAGAUCUCCCACCCUUUGUUAACAUU
rnacentral:misc_RNA from 1 species